GAUGAACGCUGGCGGCGUGCCUAAUACAUGCAAGUCGAGCGAAUGGAUUAAGAGCUUGCUCUUAUGAAGUUAGCGGCGGACGGGUGAGUAACACGUGGGUAACCUACCCAUAAGACUGGGAUAACUCCGGGAAACCGGGGCUAAUACCGGAUAAUAUUUUGAACUGCAUAGUUCGAAAUUGAAAGGCGGCUUCGGCUGUCACUUAUGGAUGGACCCGCGUCGCAUUAGCUAGUUGGUGAGGUAACGGCUCACCAAGGCGACGAUGCGUAGCCGACCUGAGAGGGUGAUCGGCCACACUGGGACUGAGACACGGCCCAGACUCCUACGGGAGGCAGCAGUAGGGAAUCUUCCGCAAUGGACGAAAGUCUGACGGAGCAACGCCGCGUGAGUGAUGAAGGCUUUCGGGUCGUAAAACUCUGUUGUUAGGGAAGAACAAGUGCUAGUUGAAUAAGCUGGCACCUUGACGGUACCUAACCAGAAAGCCACGGCUAACUACGUGCCAGCAGCCGCGGUAAUACGUAGGUGGCAAGCGUUAUCCGGAAUUAUUGGGCGUAAAGCGCGCGCAGGUGGUUUCUUAAGUCUGAUGUGAAAGCCCACGGCUCAACCGUGGAGGGUCAUUGGAAACUGGGAGACUUGAGUGCAGAAGAGGAAAGUGGAAUUCCAUGUGUAGCGGUGAAAUGCGUAGAGAUAUGGAGGAACACCAGUGGCGAAGGCGACUUUCUGGUCUGUAACUGACACUGAGGCGCGAAAGCGUGGGG
rnacentral:rRNA from 1 species